AAAUCAGCAUGGAAAAAUCUAAGAGAUUGCUUUAUGAGGGAAUAUAAAAAAUAGAGCCAGGGAUUCAGUAUACCAAUUUGAAAAAAUCAAAUCUUGUUAUAUCUAAAAUUGCUUAAUCAAAUAUUGUUAGAGCAAUGUAUGAGCAAAUGAGUGGUAAUGAAAAUUAUUAAUAUGAAGAUGCCAUUGAAAUCCCCUGCAUAGAGACAAGUAGUGAAGCUACAAUUUUAAGGAAUGAUUUAAAUGACCAAAUUUAUCUUGCAAAAAAUUAAUUAAAAAGAGGGAUAUUGAUCAAGAUCUAUUUGAGCAAAUACUUGAAAUAGAAAAAAUUAAAGGAAGAUUAUCUACAAAUUCUUGGAUCAAUGCCAUGCAUGAGCAAACCCUUGCAAAAAGACGAGAAGGGGGAAAGAAAAAGCUUAUUAAAAUUAUUUUUGAUAUACUCUUUAAUUUUGACAGUGAUCAAGAAUAAUGAAAAAUAUUAUUGUUAUAAUGGUAUUUUUGUUGUUUAUUUUUUCGUGAAAUUAUUUUAUAUUUUUGUUGGCGCGGAUUAAUAUUAUAACAUAUGCGGAAUUAUUUGUUUUGAAAAAAGAGAAGACUCAUGGUGAGUCGAGGAUAUAUUUUUUUGUUGGAAAAUAUAAUUUGUAAUUUAGAUAUAUUUUAAUUUUUGGAAUAAUUUUUAAUUUUUUUUGAAAUAGUAAUUUUAAUUUUUUUAUAAUUUUGUUAAAAAUAUAAUUUUUGUAUAAAUAGACUAAUUAA